rnacentral:pre_miRNA from 1 species
AAGUCCGUAAAUGCACUGUGUUGCUAAUUUUAUUUUGCGAAAUUAGCAGCAUGGCGCAUUUGCGCACCA